rnacentral:tRNA from 3 species
GGUAGUUCAGCUGGUUAGAAUGCCGCCCUGUCACGGCGGAGGUCGCGGGUUCGAGCCCCGUCCGCUGCGCCA